ACACGAGAAGGGAGGUGGUUCGGCAGAUGUGCACAUACCGGACGCGUGAGGUGACUGCGGGCUAGCGGCCCGUUGUCGCGUCUCCCCGGCUUCGGCCGGGUCAAGCGUGGCGCCGGUCCGGUGCGGGGUUCCGCUCCGCACAGCCGGCCAAUCCCGAGCAGUCACCCGGCCCGCGAGCCGCCGGUACGUCCGGCCGGCUCCCCCGCGAGGGGGAACCAGGUUCGCGGGCCGUCUGCA
rfam:Streptomyces sp. PVA 94-07 chromosome, whole genome shotgun sequence.